rnacentral:tRNA from 2 species
AGUUAAAAAGCCAAAGAAAGCCUGUUGCCUUGAAAACAACAUGAAAGAAGUUAGAAUCUUCUAUUAACUU